CUUUGUGGGAGUCUUUCUCCAAAAGUCAGCUUCUCAUUUUGCCAACUUUCCCCUUCUCUCUCUAGAAAACAGAAAACCCUUUUUGCCCUAAAACAUUUUCUCUGCCUUCUCUCUAAAUUCCCAGCAAAUUUAACCCUUCAAUCUUUGAAUAGGUUGUGCUCAAACGUUUAUCACGUCGAGAGCUCCGUAACAGAUCGAACAAUUUCUUGUUUCUAUCGGGUGCCUUUGAAAUUUGCUGUGAGUAACAUUGUUUAAAGCGUUUCUAUCAAAUAAACUGUGAAGUUUUCCAGAUGUGGAUGAGGAGGUUCCCUUGGAGCAAGUGUCGGAGGACGCUGAUGCUACUUAAGAUUUCACUUAUUUAGCUUAUGUUAUUUUGAGAUACUUAUUAGAUUAUUUUGAAAUACUUUGCUAUGAUUAAAGUUUUAAACUAGAUCAUUUUGGAUGACUGUAAUCCUCUAAUUAAUCGCAAGUCAUAGUUCUCUUUAUUUGAAUGAUGAUGCCUAUAUUAUAUGAUUGAGG